GUGGGGAAUAUUGGACAAUGGGCGAAAGCCUGAUCCAGCCAUGCCGCGUGUGUGAAGAAGGUCUUCGGAUUGUAAAGCACUUUAAGUUGGGAGGAAGGGCAGUAAGUUAAUACCUUGCUGUUUUGACGUUACCGACAGAAUAAGCACCGGCUAACUUCGUGCCAGCAGCCGCGGUAAUACGAAGGGUGCAAGCGUUACUCGGAAUUACUGGGCGUAAAGCGCGCGUAGGUGGUUUUGUAAGUUGGAGGUGAAAUCCCCGGGCUCAACCUGGGAACGGCCUCCAAAACUGCAUGACUAGAGGACGGUAGAGGGUAGUGGAAUUUCGUGGGUAGCGGUGAAAUGCGUAGAUAUAGGAAGGAACACCAGUGGCGAAGGCGACUACCUGGACUGAUACUGACACUGAGGUGCGAAAGCGUGGGGAGCAAACAGGAUUAGAAACCCGAGUAGUCC
rnacentral:rRNA from 1 species